UACAGGGGGUGCAAACGUUGCUCGGAAUUAUUGGGCGUAAAGCGCGCGUAGGCGGCUACUUAAGUCGGAUGUGAAAGCCCUUGGCUCAACUGAGGAAGUGCACCCGAAACUGAGUGGCUUGAGUACUAAAGAGGGUCGCGGAAUUCCCGGUGUAGAGGUGAAAUUCGUAGAUAUCGGGAGGAACACCGGUGGCGAAGGCGGCGACCUGGGUAGAUACUGACGCUGAGGCGCUAAAGCGUGGGGAGCAAACCGG
rnacentral:rRNA from 1 species